rnacentral:tRNA from 1 species
GCCCUCAUCGUUCAACGGACAGGACACAGGAUUCCGGAUCCUGUAAUCGAAGUUCGAAUCUUCGUGAGGGCA